AACGAACGCUGGCGGCAGGCCUAACACAUGCAAGUCGAGCGCCCCUUUCGGGGGGAGCGGCGGACGGGUGAGUAACGCGUGGGAACGUGCCCCUUGGUUCGGAAUAGCCCUGGGAAACUGGUGGUAAUACCGGAUACGCCCCGGACUUGAUCCGGGGGCAAGAUUUAGUGCCGAAGGAUCGGCCCGCGUUGGAUUAGGUAGUUGGUGGGGUAAUGGCCUACCAAGCCUUCGAUCCAUAGCUGGUUUGAGAGGAUGAUCAGCCACACUGGGACUGAGGCACGGCCCAGACUCCUACGGGAGGCAGCAGUGGGGAAUCUUAGACAAUGGGCGCAAGCCUGAUCUAGCCAUGCCGCGUGAGCGAAGAAGGCCUUAGGGUUGUAAAGCUCUUUCAGGGGGGAAGAUAAUGACGGUACCCCCAGAAGAAGCCCCGGCUAACUCCGUGCCAGCCGCCGCGGUAA
rnacentral:rRNA from 1 species